UUCUUUAAUUAGGCCUGUCAUAAUUGUCAGCACCAGGCCCACUCGGCUGUUAAUCUGGCCCUGGAUGGCAACAAUGUAUUUUGGAUGUCUGCCCUAUCAACUUUGGAUGGUACUUUCUGCACCUACCAUGGUGACCACGGGUAACAAAGAAUUAGGGUUGGAUCCUGGAGAGGGAGCCUGAGAAACGGCUACCACAGCCAAGGAAGACAGCAGGCGCACAAAUUACCCACUCCCGGCGCAUGGAGGCAGUGACGAA